rnacentral:lncRNA from 1 species
ACGUCCUUUCGAUGAAGAUCAACAUAACUCUUUUGUCGAUCUUGUGAGGUUUUUAUACGUUGCCGGAUCGUUUAAAUCUUUUCCGUAGUCAUACGUACCAACUCCGGUCCCAACAACGUUGCUUCACCCACCUCAUCCCAGCAUACUGGAGAACAAAACUUUCUUACAUACAACGCUUCGAAUGGAGCCAUGCCAAUAUUUUCUUGAUAGCUGUUGUUGUAGGAAAACUCCACCAAUGGUAAGAACUUAUGAGGCGACCCCAAAUCCAGGUACUUGAAACCCGAACUCGGUGCUUCACGAUACCAUUUCUAUAAGCUGAAUAAUAGAAUAAUAAUAAUAUCUUCAAACUUAAUUUACAUACAUCAAAGUUUAUUUCCCAGGUACGAGACCUUCAAAUACAUUUCUUACAAUACUUGAACAGAUACCAAUACUAACUAUAACCAUUAACUCAUAAUAUAACUCAUUCGAACGGCUUCCCUUUUUCCCUUGUUCGUGCCUGAGCCUUCAGGUUGCUCAUACAUAACUGAAAACAUUUAAUUUAAGCAAGGGUGAACAUUUGAGUGCCCAGCAAGUAAUAACAAUUAUAUAUAUAAGCUGAAAGAACAUAAGUAUUCUCUUUACAUAACACUUCUACAAGGAAUUGAAAGUUGUGAAGUAAUCUGUACUGAUAAAAAAUUCACAUAACAACUCUCUUUCACAUUCUUUAAAUUUAGCUCUGGCUCUACCCUUGAAUAGGGUUUAAGAAACAUACUAUGAACAUUCUUUUUAUUUUCGAAAAGGUUUAACAGAAAUCCAUCCGCAAACCGUCAUAACUUAUGGGCACGGAAGGUGAUCAGCCCCGUUGUACCCUGUAUUUAUCAAUACUACAUAACCUGAACGAAAUUCAUCGCUCACUCUAUCC